rnacentral:lncRNA from 1 species
AAAGCGCAAUAGAAUAUUUUAUAAUUUUUGCGCUAUAUAAAUGCCAUGUAUUUGUAUUUUUAUUUAUUUGGCAACAAUAGUACAUGCAUGGACUGUGAAGAAGAGCAUGGUAAUACGCAUACAAGCUCCAGCAAAUGUCCAUAUAUUCAGAUCGGUACACAUUGCAGAGUGAUGGAACAUUCCAAAAGACAAUGAGUCAAGAAACAUAACCGCCAGAAAGCUUGGUAAUAUAUAUGCAUACAGGGAACAGCGACCAUGAACAGCCUUCCCCCAUCCCGGGAUGCCAUAUGGGAAAAUGUGGCCUUCGGUAUUGUUCAAGGACAGUUUCUAGAGGAUGAAAUAAAGGACUCGUGGUAAUGCUAUACAGACCACCAUUAAGAUGAAUGCCAAGACAACAGUAACAUCGGUCAAAUAAAUAAAACGUUGAGGAAUUCCAUAGGUGCUGUUUAACAUGUCAUUCUAAUGAUGUAACAAUUUUCAUGGAUCAUGGGAAAUGAAUAUUCUAUUCAGAAGGACAGUGCAGGUUGUUGUAAUGCUAAAAAAACUGCUUGUUGGAUUGUCAUCGUUGGACUUCAUUACUAACGUCAAUCUUUUCACGCAUUUGAGACUGAACACUUAAUGUUUUCCAGUGAGAAUUGUUUCGGCACGGAAUUACGUACACUAAUAAUAUGGAGAAAAAAAGGAUGUAAAACGUUUUUCACAUGAUCUAUAAUUUCAGUGUUGCAUUAAUUAUUUCCGAAUUGGAAACAUUCAAGAAGUAACAUUGCAGACUUGAUGUUUAUACGCGGUUCUUUUUAUUUUCGUGCCACUUUACAUAUUCGAAGUUUAUAAAGGUCCAUUUGAUUUCAAUAUAAUGUUUGUGAUUGAAUUGUGUAUUAAACUUCAAAUAAACUUCAUAGUUGCAUGUUUUGAUUUAAGUUUAUUCACAGAAAAAUAUCAAUUAUGCAAGUGUUUUAUAAAACUGGGUAUUCCAGCUUUAGGAUGCGAUGGAAACAGGCAAUUUUAAAGAAAAAUACUAAAAAAGAGUUGCAGUAUAUCAUAUAUGUAUUUACUUGGAA